UCAAGAGUACGUGAAACCGUUCAGGGGUAAACGGGAGAAAUCCUGAAUUCGAAAGGGGAUUUGGAUUCAAUGCCUACCGUGUGGAACCGGGACGCCCUCUCCAGAUGGCGCCGGUCGCCCGCAGCGAUUCAGUUCGUUCGCGGUGUCGAUACCGGCGUUCACUCGUUGAGGUGUCGUUUACCCGGCACCGGAGGAGUGCACUUCCCCCCUAGUAGAAACGUCGCGACCCGUUGGGUGCCGGUCUAAGGCCCGGGGUGGCAGCCCGUGCGUCCUGUGAGGGCUCUCACAGGCGCGUGGACCCCUGGUGACCCGGCCGGCUGCCCGACGGUAUGACCAGAGGAGUCGAUCCGCUGAAUGGGAAACACUUUGGUUGUGUAGCGUCCGGCCCAUCUGCCGAUGCGUAAGCAGUUGUCACCCGUGUAGAGCAUGGGCUGCAACUGCGUCUUCGGAUUUGGUGUCCUCGGACCGGAUCAGCACUCCCGUCUGCGACGCCCACCUUCGGAUGGUCU
rnacentral:rRNA from 1 species